UGUGCUAUCUUGGACUUCAGAAGAGUUACAAGCAAUGGAAUAUUGCCCACUGAGCCUUUGCUGACUGUUCUCACAUUGCCACGAAGGAUAAAGGAUCACAGUUUGUCUUUUGUGUGAGAGGGCCUGAACUCCCAACAUCUCCAAGAGUGCAGGCAACUGGUUUGCUUGAUGUGUCCAGAGAAAGAGAGAGAGAAGAAAAAGUCUCCCUGUCUCAUGCUGUUUGCAGGAGAGCUGAAAAGCUGUUUUCUCCUUUCUUCCUCUCCUCCUAUGUUGUGAUCUGUCAA